rnacentral:rRNA from 1 species
AGAGAUGAGAAUGUGCCUUCGGAACCGUGAGACAGGUGCUGCAUGGCUGUCGUCAGCUCGUGUUGUGAAAUGUUGGGUUAAGUCCCGCAACGAGCGCAACCCUUAUCCUUGUUGCCAGCGGUCCGGCCGGGGAAACUCAAAGGAGACUGCCAGUGAUAAACUGGAGGAAGUGGGGAUGACGUCAAGUCAUCAUGGCCCUUACGACCAGGGCUACACACGUGCUACAAUGGCGCAUACAAAGAGAAGCGACCUCGCGAGAGCAAGCGGACCUCAUAAAGUGCGUCGUAGUCCGGAUUGGAGUCUGCAACUCGACUCCAUGAAGUCGGAAUCGCUAGUAAUCGUGGAUCAGAAUGCCACGGUGAAUACGUUCCCGGGCCUU